UUGAAGGGGCUGUGCGCCUGGCGCUCAUCCAGGGCGACGACUUCGCAGAUCUCCCGUGUCCUGGGCCUCGGCCCCAGGGAGCAGCAUGGAAAUAGUACCUUUCGGGCCUGAUGGAGCUUGCCUGCUUUGUCCAUUGGGUCUCCCCCUUCUCCCUGAAGGUCACCUGUUGCUCUCUUGAAGCCAUCUUCUCCAGGCUGAUACCUCUCUUCUUAUAAAGCUUUGCAGAAUUGUGGACAACAAUGAGUUCCUAUAAUACCCCAAACACAGGUAAAACUAAGUUGUGAUGCUCAGUACAAUUUUCCUGAGUGCUUAGAAGUAUGUUUGCUUCUAGAAAACUUACCCUUGUG
rnacentral:lncRNA from 1 species